rnacentral:rRNA from 1 species
AACGAACGCUGGCGGCAUGCCUAACACAUGCAAGUCGAACGAGACCUUCGGGUCUAGUGGCGCACGGGUGCGUAACGCGUGGGAACCUGCCCUUAGGUUCGGAAUAACUCCCCGAAAGGGGUGCUAAUACCGGAUAAUGUCUUCGGACCAAAGAUUUAUCGCCUUUGGAUGGGCCCGCGUUGGAUUAGCUAGUUGGUAGGGUAAAAGCCUACCAAGGCGACGAUCCAUAGCUGGUCGGAGAGGAUGGUCAGCCACACUGGGACUGCGACACGGCCCAGACUCCUACGGGAGGCAGCAGUGGGGAACAUUGGACGAUGGGCGAAAGCCUGAUACAGCAAUGCCGCGUGAGUGAUGAAGGCCUUAGGGUUGUAAAGCCCUUUUACCCGGGAUGAUAAUGACAGUACCGGGAGAAUAAGCUCCGGCUAACUACGUG